AGCACGUUAUGGUGGGCGACUCUAAGGAGACUGCCGGUGACAAACCGGAGGAAGGUGGGGAUGACGUCAAGUCAUCAUGGCCCUUACGGCCUGGGCUACACACGUGCUACAAUGGUCGGUACAAAGGGUUGCCAAGCCGCGAGGUGGAGCUAAUCCCAUAAAACCGAUCGUAGUCCGGAUCGCAGUCUGCAACUCGACUGCGUGAAGUCGGAAUCGCUAGUAAUCGUGAAUCAGAAUGUCACGGUGAAUACGUCCCCGGGCCUU
rnacentral:rRNA from 1 species